AAGGCGGAACCUGAAAAGCCUACAGAAUAACGAGUAAGGA
rnacentral:ncRNA from 1 species